GUGCAGCAGUCGCGAAACUUUACAAUGUGCGAAAGCACGAUAAGGGAACUCUGAGUGCCUCCUAAGGAGGCUGUUCAGGUGUCUAAAAAGCACCUGAAGGAAGGGCUGGGUAAGACCGGUGCCAGCCGCCGCGGUAACACCGGCAGCCCAAGUGGUAGCCACGUUUAUUGGGUCUAAAGCGUCCGUAGCCGGCUGGGUAAGUUCCUUGGGAAA
rnacentral:rRNA from 1 species